AUGAACGCUGGCGGCGUGCCUAAUACAUGCAAGUCGAACGCUUCACUUCGGUGAAGAGUGGCGAACGGGUGAGUAAUACAUAAGUAACCUGGCAUCUACAGGGGGAUAACUGAUGGAAACGUCAGCUAAGACCGCAUAGGUGUAGAGAUCGCAUGAACUCUAUAUGAAAAGUGCUACGGGACUGGUAGAUGAUGGACUUAUGGCGCAUUAGCUUGUUGGUAGGGUAACGGCCUACCAAGGCGACGAUGCGUAGCCGACCUGAGAGGGUGACCGGCCACACUGGGACUGAGACACGGCCCAGACUCCUACGGGAGGCAGCAGUAGGGAAUUUUCGGCAAUGGGGGAAACCCUGACCGAGCAACGCCGCGUGAAGGAAGAAGUAAUUCGUUAUGUAAACUUCUGUCAUAGAGGAAGAACGGUGGAUAUAGGGAAUGAUAUCCAAGUGACGGUACUCUAUAAGAAAGCCACGGCUAACUACGUGCCAGCAGCCGCGGUAAUACGUAGGUGGCGAGCGUUAUCCGGAAUUAUUGGGCGUAAAGAGGGAGCAGGCGGCACUAAGGGUCUGUGGUGAAAGAUCGAAGCUUAACUUCGGUAAGCCAUGGAAACCGUAGAGCUAGAGUGUGUGAGAGGAUCGUGGAAUUCCAUGUGUAGCGGUGAAAUGCGUAGAUAUAUGGAGGAACACCAGUGGCGAAGGCGACGAUCUGGCGCAUAACUGACGCUCAGUCCCGAAAGCGUGGGGAGCAAAUAGGAUUAGAUACCCUAGUAGUCCACGCCGUAAACGAUGAGUACUAAGUGUUGGGUGUCAAAGCUCAGUGCUGCAGUUAACGCAAUACGUCCUCCGCCUGAGUAGUAAGCUCGCAAGAAUGAAACUCAAAGGAAUUGACGGGGGCCCGCACAAGCAGUGGAGUAUGUGGUUUAAUUCGAAGCAACGCGAAGAACCUUACCAGGUCUUGACAUCCUACUAACGAGAUAGAGAUAUGUUAGGUGCCCUUCGGGGAAAGUAGAGACAGGUAGUGCAUGGUUGUCGUCAGCUCGUGUCGUGAGAUGUUGGGUUAAGUCCCGCAACGAGCGCAACCCCUGUUGCCAGUUGCCAGCAUUAAGUUGGGGACUCUGGCGAGACUGCCGGUGACAAGCCGGAGGAAGGCGGGGAUGACGUCAAAUCAUCAUGCCCCUUAUGACCUGGGCUACACACGUGCUACAAUGGACAGAGCAGAGGGAAGCGAAGCCGCGAGGUGGAGCGAAACCCAUAAAACUGUUCUCAGUUCGGACUGCAGUCUGCAACUCGACUGCACGAAGAUGGAAUCGCUAGUAAUCGCGAAUCAGCAUGUCGCGGUGAAUACGUUCUCGGGCCUUGUACACACCGCCCGUCACACCAUGAGAGUCGGUAACACCCGAAGCCGGUGGCCUAACCGCAAGGAAGGAGCUGUCUAAGGUGGGACUGAUGAUUGGGGUG
rnacentral:rRNA from 1 species